UAGGGAAUCUUCGGCAAUGGGGGGAGCCCUGACCGAGCAACGCCGCGUGAGUGAAGAAGGUUUUCGGAUCGUAAAGCUCUGUUGUUAAGGAAGAACGAGUGUGAGAAUGGAAAGUUCAUGCUGUGACGGUACUUAACCAGAAAGGGACGGCUAACUACGUGCCAGCAGCCGCGGUAAUACGUAGGUCCCGAGCGUUGUCCGGAUUUAUUGGGCGUAAAGCGAGCGCAGGCGGUUAGAAAAGUCUGAAGUGAAAGGCAGUGGCUCAACCAUUGUAGGCUUUGGAAACUGUUUAACUUGAGUGCAGAAGGGGAGAGUGGAAUUCCAUGUGUAGCGGUGAAAUGCGUAGAUAUAUGGAGGAACACCGGUGGCGAAAGCGGCUCUCUGGUCUGUAACUGACGCUGAGGCUCGAAAGCGUGGGGAGCGAACAGG
rnacentral:rRNA from 1 species